UCUUCCCUUGCUGAUAAAUUUUCCGGUUUGAAGGGUAACCUUUUUUCAGAGUACUUUUCAUUUGUGUAUGGUUUAAUUUUGCAAGAAUUGGAUAUUUAUACGUAACGUGCUCGGCGGUAUGGAGUCUCCUUGUUCUGCAACAACAUGCAACUAAACACCGGUGGAGUUCAUCGAGGAGCGUCGCAAAUCUUCUGUGGGACCAAGGUUAAUUGGUGAAACAAAUCAAACACCAUCCUUCGUUCGAAAUUUUAGCAUCUCUGAGCCCUGAUUCAGAAUCUCUUAUCUAAGAUCCUUCGACAACGCUGAAAACAAAAAUGUCAAAAGGCAAGGUUUAGGAUGCACGGGUCGUUGCAUCAAUUCCGCCUGAGGUUAUCAUGCCACAACUACCUACAACAGUUUCGGGAAAAAAAACAUUGAAUAGUAUAUCAAGCCUAACUUUCCUUCCAGUGUAAUCAAGCCCUAAGCAUUGCUACCUGAUUAUUUUUCAGGGUGAAAGAAAAAUUAGAUUGCUGCAGUUUCUCUCUCUCGCUCUAUCGAAGCCGUAUAAGACGACAACAUGCCUUCAUCAUUAAACUUGCUAUAAACAGUAAUGGAUCAAAAUUCAUCAAGCUACAGCACGAUUUGAAGCUCUAAGAAGACAGUUUGAAAGGCUGUUUUCUCUUAGGAAGUAGAUACUUUUCGGGUCUUGGCAACUAACCGUUGAAAUCAGGAUGCUGUUCUUCUUCUUGGCUCACGAUUGAUUUUUGCGAAGUAAAAAGAUCAAGCAGUGGGAGAAAGGAAAGUCUUCAUCAUUGCUUUGAAGUUAGCAUUAGCAGUUUGCUUUGAUUAAAUGUCCAUCUCCAUUGUA